CAGCAGCCGCGGUAAUACGUAGGUGGCAAGCGUUGUCCGGAAUUAUUGGGCGUAAAGGGCUCGCAGGCGGUUUCUUAAGUCUGAUGUGAAAGCCCCCGGCUCAACCGGGGAGGGUCAUUGGAAACUGGGAAACUUGAGUGCAGAAGAGGAGAGUGGAAUUCCACGUGUAGCGGUGAAAUGCGUAGAGAUGUGGAGGAACACCAGUGGCAAAGGCGACUCUCUGGUCUGUAACUGACGCUGAGGAGCGAAAGCGUGGGGAGCGAACAGGAUUAGAUACCCCAGUAGUCCCUGUCUCUUAUAC
rnacentral:rRNA from 1 species